rnacentral:sRNA from 1 species
GUUUCGGUAGGUGAGGCUACCACAGGGAUACGGGUUACUGCCGCGGAGUAGUGGAGACACUAUGAGAAGGCCAACAGUCCAUGUCGAAAACAAGGCAUGGACUAUGUAACUUCAUCGCCCUGUGAAGCUGAAGCUUGGACGAUGA